rnacentral:rRNA from 1 species
UACGUAGGGGGCAAGCGUUGUCCGGAACUACUGGGCGUAAAGGGCGCGUAGGCGGCUUUUCAAGUCGGGCGUGAAAUCUCCGGGCUUAACCUGGAAGGGUCGUUCGAUACUGUCGAGCUAGAGUGUGGAAGAGGCUACUGGAAUUCCGGGUGUAGCGGUGGAAUGCGUAGAGAUCCGGAAGAACACCGGUGGCGAAGGCGGCCUGCUGGGCAGUAGCUGACACUGAGGCGCGACAGCGUGGGGAGCAAACAGG